AGCAGCCGCGGUAAUUCCAGCUCCAAUAGCGUAUAUUAAAGUUGUUGCAGUUAAAAAGCUCGUAGUUGAAUUUCGGGAUUGGCGCAUCGGUCGUGCCUCACGGGGUAUGAACUGGUGCAGUCAAUUUCUCACCUUCUGGAGAACCGCGAUGUCCUUAAUUGGAUGCCGCGGGGAACCAGGACCUUUACUUUGAAAAAAUUAGAGUGUUUAAAGCAGGCAUUUUUGCUUGAAUACAUUAGCAUGGAAUAAUAAAAUAGGACGGCAUGGUUCUAUUUUGUUGGUUUCUAGGACCACCGUAAUGAUUAAUAGGGAUAGUUGGGGGCAUUAGUAUUCAAUUGUCAGAGGUGAAAUUCUUGGAUUUAUUGAAGACUAACUACUGCGAAAGCAUUUGCCAAGGAUGUUUUCAUUAAUCAAGAACGAAAGUUAGGGGAUCGAAGACGAUCAGAUACCGUCGUAGCCUUAACCAUAAACUAUGCCGA
rnacentral:rRNA from 1 species